UCCCACAGUGAGACAGAGGGCUUUUCCCCCUGCAUCUCCAUGAUUGGUAUGUGGCACAUCCCGGCUGCGGGGCGAGGCUCUCACUGGUUCCCAGCACCGCAGUCCCUGAGCCCCAACAGCAGCUCUGGCAGCAGCGAAUGACAUCAGAGCCACCAGGCAGCUCGUUGGUGAACCGCGGUUUUGGGGACACCAUCGCACCGUGCUCAUCCUCCACAGCCCAAGUAUGUCGGCUGAGUCCCCGCCUUGCAAAAAGAUAUUUUAAUCUGCUUCCCAAGGGGUCAGUGUCGCCGAUAUCCCCGUAUCUGCAUGCAUAUUUCUAUAUCCCAAUAUAGAAAUGGUACGGAUCUGUGCUACUCUGUGUGUGCAUUUUGAAAGAAAACCAUAGCAGAGAGUUACUAACCUAUUGUGAACGCCAUUCCUUCUUCCAUUAACAAAUCACUGUCAUUGGCUACAAAAGAAAAUAAAAACCGCGUUUAUGGCUGUU